AAUGAUUGGGGAUAAGGCAGUGGAGAAAACUAAAAUGGAGAAGGAUGCCCACUGUCCUAUUUUCUUUUUCUCCGCCCCGCUGUCCUCAUCGCCUUUACUGGCGUUCCCCCAGCCGAACGGCGACCGCGCCGCCGAGGGAAUCUGAAUCUCGACGUCUUGCUUCUCCUCUGCUCCGACUGCGGCACCCGCUACUCUGCCUCAACCCCGCCAUCCGCUCGGCCCCGGAGCGCAUCGCCUUUAUUGCAGCCGGCGUCUCCCGCUGACCCCUCCUGCAGGUCCAUCUUGGUUCUACAGAUAUCAAUGGAGGCUCCGUUGUGUGGUUUGGUGGACGCCAUGUCCAAACUUCCCGCAAAGCUUGAUGGGCUAUUGCGUUAUCGCCACAUGCUGCCCAAUGGAGCACAAGAUGAGAUACCUCUCAUCAAGAAAGAUCUCCAGAAGAUGCUUACCAUUCUUCAGGAUGACGGCAACUCUAGAGCAAUGGUCAAAUGCUUGAUGAAAGAGUUGCGUGAACUGUCGUAUGACAUCGAUGACUGCAUCGACCAUUAUGAGCACGCGGCUGAUUCCAUGAGUCGUCGAUCUUACUUCAGAAUUCCUCGCCGUCAGAAUAGUUUUACUCUUAGAAACACUAAGACCACUUGGCUUCCUGAGAAGCUGAAACUGCGCCUAUGGAUGGCCAACAAGAUCAGAGAAUUUAGCGUGCGCUCGCAGGAGGCACUUCAACACUUCUAUGACUAUGGUGGCACGAGCACUGCUACUAGAUGUGAUGUGUCUUUUGGAUCUUGGCAUCCCACUCUGUACUAUGAGGAGCAUGCCAAGCACCUGCUUGUUGGUAUCGAUGCCCUUAUGAGCAAGCUCGAAGCGUCACUGAGCAAGGAUGAAGAGCACAAGCUCAAGGUGGUAUCCGUUCUUGGAUCAGGAGGGGUUGGUAAGACCACGCUUGUCAAUGAGCUGUACCGUAAAAUUGAAGGGCAAUUUGAAUGCCGGGCAUUUGUGCGGACGUCAAAAAGGCCUGAUAUCAGGAGGCUUCUCAUUAGCUUGCUCUCACAAGUUGCGCCGAACCAUCUACCUGACAAUUGGAAGGUGCAUAACCUAAUUGGCAGUAUCAGAACACAUCUCCAAGAUAAGAGGUAUUUGAUCGUAAUUGAUGAUGUAUGGGCUUCGUCAACAUGGGAAAUCGUUAAAUGUGCUUUGCCGGAUGGUAAUUGUUGCAGUGGAAUAUUAGUAACAACAGAGAUUGAAGAUGUAGCACAGAAAUGCUGUGGUUAUGAUUCUAACUAUGUUUUCACGAUCAAACCACUUGGCGACGAUGAUUCACGCAAGUUAUUUUUAUAUACAGCUUUUGGUCCUCAGCAUGAAUGUCCGCCAGAACUCACUGAAGUUUCAAAUAGUGUAUUAUAAGAAAAUGUGGUGGUUUGCCAUUAGCAACUGUUACUAUUGCCAGUAUUUUAGCAAGCCGGAUGAACAAACAACCAGAGCACUGGAAUUAUGUAGAUAAAUCACUGGGUUAUGGUUUGGGGACAAGUCCUACUUUUGAAGGGAUGGAACAAGUACUCAACCUUAGUUAUAAUAAUCUUCCUCGGCGUUUGAAGGCAUGCAUGUUGUAUCUCAGCAUAUAUGAAGCAGAUUACAUUAUUUUGAAGGACGAUUUGGUAAAGCAAUGGACUGCUGAAGGUAUUGUCUGUGAAACAGAAGAGAAAAACGUGGAGGAAAUCUCAAGGAGAUAUUUUGAUGAGCUUAUAAGAAACAGAAUGAUCCAGCCUGUCCAUUUAAAUGACAACGGUGAGGUUUUAUCCUGCACAGUACACCACAUGGUACUUAACUUCAUUGCCCACAAGUCUAUAGAAUAGAAUUUUGUCACUGCAGUACAUCAUUCUCAGACAACUGCAAGACUUGCCGACAAGGUUCGUCGACUUUCUCUUCAAUUUGGUAAUGCAGAAGAUGCAACGGCACCAACAAAUAUGAGGCUAUCACAAGUUCGGACACUUGCCUUCUUUGGGAUCUUCAAGUGUGUCCCUUCCAUUGUGGAGUUUAAACUUCUUCAAGUUUUAAUCCUACACUUUUGGGGUGACGAGGACGGCAUCAGUUUAGAUAUAACUGGAAUUUGGGAGCUUUAUCGGUUGAGAUAUAUGCAAGUGACAUGUAACGUCAUAUUAGAAUUACGAACCCAGAUGAGGGAUCUAAGAUCUUUUCCGCGCUUGCUGCACCUCAAACUUCCUGCUGAGACAAGACUGCCUGAUGGGAUUGGCCACAUGACAUCGCUUCACACCCUCGGAUAUUUUGAUCUCAGCAGUAACUCAGCAGAGAAUGUCCAGAGCCUUGGCGAGUUGACAAAUCUCCAGGAUCUUCAGCUGGCCCGUUGUACUGUACAGACUGAUAAUCUGAAGAACAACAUGCAAUGCCUGGGGAUGAUUCUGGGAAAACUAAGCAAUCUUAAGUCUGUAACUCUGGUACCUGCAGGCUCCUCUCAUGUUGAUGGUAUGAGUAUGAGCGUUUCGGGUGAUGGUUUGAGUAGCAUAUCUUCUCCACCGGCCUUUCUUGAGAGGCUUGAGUUAUCGCCGCAUGUUUGCAUCUUCUCCAGCCUCCCGGAGUGGAUCGGACAUCUUGCCAGGCUCUCCAUUUUGAAGAUCGCAGUUUGUGAGCUAGUGAAGAAUGAUCUUGACAUUCUCAGAGGACUGCCUGGACUAACUGUUCUUUCACUGCAUGUCUGCACAAAGCUUACUGAAAGGAUUGUUUUCGAGAAGGCGGGAUUCUCAGUUCUCAAGUACCUCAAGUUCAAGAGUAGUGUACCUUGGCUUAAGUUUGAGGCAGAUGCCAUGCCUAAUCUUCGGAAGCUCAAGCUAGUUUUCAAUGACACUGGAGUGGAACUGGAAUCACAUAGUACUGCACCAGUGGGCAUCGAGCAAUUGUUAGGCCUUGAAGACAUCUCUGCAAAAAUUGGGGGUGGAGGUGCUGAUGCAAGGGCUGCCUUGAUGACCGCUGUUAGUAGUCAUCCACGCAAUCCUAGAAUCAACGUAAAAUUGGUGGACUGUAUGAUUUAUGCUGACGGAAGUAGCAGGAUUUCUGUGCCACCGGAGCCAUCUUCACGUUUGCCUGUCCCAGAUGCCACUACACGAAGUGAUGUGGAGCUCAAGCUACUCAAUGAAAUUGAAGAACCAAAGACCCUGCCAUUGCCACUUGAUCAACAGGUGAUACCGCCGCAUCCGCAGCCGCCGCGUUACCGUGGCGUGCGGAAGCGGCCGUGGGGGCGCUACGCCGCUGAGAUCCGGGACCCGGGCAAGAAGAGCCGGGUCUGGCUCGGCACCUAUGACUCCGCCGAAGAAGCGGCUCGCGCCUACGAUGUUGCUGCCAGAGAAUAUCGCGGGCCCAAAGCCAAAACUAACUUCCCCUUGACCGCAGCACCGUGGGCGACCUGUGUGAAGGCAAAGGUGGCCACCGCAAGCCACAUUAGCAGCAACGAACCCUCUGCCCUCACCACCGACUCCUCCUUCGCCGCAGCACCAUGGGUGUCCACAGCACCGCGGUUGAACUUGGCCGCGAGCCACAGCAGCAGCGACGAACCCUCUGCCCUCAACACCGACGACGACUCCUUCACUGCAGCACCAGGGGUGUCCACAACGCUGCGGUUGUCCUUGCCCCCAGCGUCUCCAAGCCACAGCAGCAUCGAAGAGUCCCGGUAUAUGUGAAUGAUUUGGUCACGUGUGCUGUGAUUAAGGAAGGAAUUGUAGUAUUUCGAGUAAUGGUGCUGCUGUUUCACUGAAUAGCUCGGUUGUGCAAACUCAAUAUUUUUUCCUUUUGGAAAUGAGAGAUUUUACCCUUUCCAA